GAGCAUGAAGAAACCCAAACUCUGAGAAGGCUGCAACACAGCACCCCUAGAGACACCACCCCUUUUGGUGUCUUGACCAGUCACAGAUGGAGAGUCCCACGGACUGAGACGACAGGGGUCACCUAAGACCAUCAGAAAACACAGGUUUUUACGUUACGACUCAUAAUGGUAGCAAAAUUAUAGUUAUGAGGUAGCGAUGAAAAUAAUUUUAUGGUUAGGGGGUCACCACGGCAUGAGGAACUGUAUUAAAGGGUCGCAGCAUCGGGAGGGUUGCGGACCACUGCUCGAAAGCAAGCCAAGAUUAUACAGGGAUCCCCCAGUGUAAGCACAGUGAGUGCAUUCCCCACACCCCAGAGCAAUCCAGAACUGAUAAUGCCGUUCUCCUGAUUCCCAGGGUUCCAGGUCUAUUCUGUCUGCCACAGACAAAUGGUACCGUUCACACACCGGCCACACUGUCUACGUGCUCGCCUCUAACCGGAAGGGAUCUCAUCUCAUGAUGCUGGACUUCAUCUUCAAAGCAAGGGGGCUUACAGUAAGCCCGAAUGAUUUCUACCCAUCCCUGAGGACUCCUGCCCCACCAAGCCAUCAAAUUGACUUCCCCCAGUUCUCGUAAGAGGAGGUACUCGAACAUCCCUGAGCCAGGCAGGUACCCCAAAUCCCUAUCCCUAUUAGAGCAACGUAGACCACAGGCCAAGUGUCAGCUACCAAGACAAGACACGACCCACCUGCCUGAUAAUUUAAGAGUUCAUCUUCCUGUUUGCCUUUGAUGUACCCUGGGAACAUGGCUCCCUAGUUUCCCUGGGAACACAUACCCUCACCUGGAUUCCAGCCUCACACCAUGGAGACGUGGCUCCAUGGCAGACCAAGGAAUUCUUCCUAUGAUCUGAGUGGGAUUGCAGGCUGCCUGUUGGAUAGAUGUCUCCAGAGCAUCCUUACAUUUCCGUCACUUGCUUUGCAGACAUGAGGUCCUGAGUUUGCCCCUAGGAGCCAUGGAAAAAGCUGGGUCUGAUAACGGGUUUAUAAUCACAGCCCUGAGGAGGCAGAGACAGGGGGACCCCCAGGUCCUGGACACCCAGCUGAACUUAACCAGUGAAUUCCAGGCCAGUGAGGGACCAUUUCCAAAAAAAAAAAAGUGAUGCUAGGCAUGGUGGCAAACCCCUUUAAUCACAGUGUUUGGGAGGCAGAGGCAGGCAGAUCUUUCUGAGUUUAAGACCAGCCUCUCCCUGUGAUGACAUAUUUUCCUGAAAAUAUCUUUUGCCUUAGAAGAGAAGAAACGUUUUCCAGAUCCCACAGCAAGUUUAUGAUAUGCCUUCCAAUCAUUGAAGACUAUGUACCUAGCCUGCUGUCCUACUGUGUGCUUGGCCUGUUUAACUUUGACUUACCUUUAAGAGAUAAUGUAGCUAACCCUC
rnacentral:lncRNA from 1 species